UAACACCACCUACUCCCCCUAAACCAAGACCUAUAGGGAGUAUAAAUUACGUCUUUCAUAUCCAGUAGUGAGGGAUUACUGGAAAUAAGUUUCGCA
rnacentral:ncRNA from 1 species